UACGUAGGGUGCAAGCGUUAAUCGGAAUUACUGGGCGUAAAGCGUGCGCAGGCGGUUUGUAAGUCUGUCGUGAAAGCCCCGGGCUCAACCUGGGAAUUGCGAUGGAGACUGCAAGGCUUGAAUCUGGCAGAGGGGGGUAGAAUUCCACGUGUAGCAGUGAAAUGCGUAGAGAUGUGGAGGAACACCGAUGGCGAAGGCAGCCCCUGGGUCAAGAUUGACGCUCAUGCACGAAAGCGUGGGAGCAAGCA
rnacentral:rRNA from 1 species